UAGGGAAUAUUGGACAAUGGGUGAGAGCCUGAUCCAGCCAUGCCGCGUGCAGGAAGAAGGCCUUCUGGGUUGUAAACUGCUUUUUGCCGGGGGAUAAAAGGCCCCUGCGGGGGACAUUGAAGGUACCCGGUGAAUAAGCCACGGCUAACUACGUGCCAGCAGCCGCGGUAAUACGUAGGUGGCAAGCGUUGUCCGGAUUUAUUGGGUUUAAAGGGUGCGUAGGCGGCCCCGUAAGUCAGUGGUGAAAUACGGCAGCUCAACUGUCGAGGUGCCAUUGAUACUGCGGGGCUUGAGUAUGGACGAGGUAAGCGGAAUUGACGGUGUAGCGGUGAAAUGCUUAGAUAUCGUCAAGAACACCGAUAGCGAAGGCAGCUUACUAGGCCAUAACUGACGCUGAGGCACGAAGGUGCGGGGAUCGAAACAGGAUUAGAUACCCUUGUAGUCCCUGAGCGGG
rnacentral:rRNA from 1 species